rnacentral:rRNA from 1 species
AGCGGCGGACGGGUGAGUAACGCGUAGGAAUCUACCUAGUAGAAGGGGAUAGCCCGGGGAAACCCGGAUUAAUACCGUAUACCUCCUUCGGGAGAAAGAAGGCCUCUCUUUGAAGCUUUCGCUAUUAGAUGAGCCUGCGUAAGAUUAGCUUGUUGGUGAGGUAAAGGCUCACCAAGGCGACGAUCUUUAGCUGGUCUGAGAGGACGAUCAGCCACAUUGGGACUGAGACACGGCCCAGACUCCUACGGGAGGCAGCAGUGGGGAAUAUUGGACAAUGGGCGCAAGCCUGAUCCAGCCAUACCGCGUGUGUGAAGAAGGCCUUCGGGUUGUAAAGCACUUUAAGCAGGGAGAAAAAGUUAUAAGUUAAUACCUUAUAACCGUGAUGUUACCUGCAGAAUAAGCACCGGCUAAUUCCGUGCCAGCAGCCGCGGUAAUACGGAAGGUGCAAGCGUUAAUCGGAAUUACUGGGCGUAAAGCGCGCGUAGGUGGUUUGUUAAGUUGGAUGUGAAAGCCCUGGGCUCAACCUAGGAACUGCAUCCAAAACUAACUCACUAGAGUACGAUAGAGGGAGGUAGAAUUCAUAGUGUGGCGGUGGAAUGCGUAGAUAUUAUGAAGAAUACCAGUGGCGAAGGCGGCCUCCUGGAUCUGUACUGACACUGAGGUGCGAAAGCGUGGGUAGCGAACAGGAUUAGAUACCCUGGUAGUCCACGCCGUAAACGAUGACAACUAGCUGUUGGAAGACAACGUCUUUUCAUGGCGCAGCUAACGUUUUAAGUUGUCCGCCUGGGGAGUAC